UCGCGGGUUCUCUUCCCCGCCCCCGUUAGAGGGGCGGAGGGUGUUUCGGGGGGCACGCCUCUUAAAGGAGCCGUUCAACUUUCUCGCUGUUACAGGCUUCAUUUCAGGUUAUGCAGGGCCUUCUUAAAAAGGGAGAUGCCUGAAGGCAGCAGUGGAAGACACACCUGCAAUCAUUCCUCACACAGAGAACCCAGCCUACAGGCACUGCCUCCCUUCCUCAGUAAGAUAGAGCUGGCCACUCACAACGGACAUCCAGGACCACAGAGAUCAUGACAGAUCCAUCUCGGGCCAACUUGCAGGUCGACCUGCGUGUCCCCUCGGAACCAGAGCAGCUCUUCUCCCUGGCUGUUGUUGUGCACUGUGCACACGAGGGACUCUGCUACGCCUGGCUUUGUUGAC